UUACGGCCAUAUCACGUUAAAACCCCGGUUCCCGUACGAUCACUGAAGUUAAGCAACAUCGAGUCUGCUCAGUACCUACACGGGUGACCGCUUGGGAAA